rnacentral:tRNA from 1 species
AAGGACUUAAGUUAAGUAAACUAUUAACCUUCAAAGUUACAAUUAAAAGAAUAGACUUUUAGGCCUUA